CAGUAGCCACGGUAAUACAGAGGGUGCAAGCGUUAAUCGGAAUUACUGGGCGUAAAGCGCGCGUAGGUGGUUUGUUAAGUUGGAUGUGAAAGCCCCGGGCUCAACCUGGGAACUGCAUCCAAAACUGGCAAGCUAGAGUACGGUAGAGGGUGGUGGAAUUUCCUGUGUAGCGGUGAAAUGCGUAGAUAUAGGAAGGAACACCAGUGGCGAAGGCGACCACCUGGCCUAAUACUGACGCUGAGGUACGAAAGCAUGGGGAGCAAACAGGAUUAGAUACCCCCGUAGUCCCUGUCUCUUAUAC
rnacentral:rRNA from 1 species